GGGCCCGGUGACGCAGCGCUGGUAUAAAUAGGGAGGGCAGGGCUGUAGCUCGGCCUUUGUGGCUGGUGGAGCUGGAGAAGUGGCAGUGCUGUCUGUGUGUGUUCGUGGCCCGUAAUGUGGAGUUCUGACUGCAGCUCCCAAACUGGUAUGUGCAGUACUUCCCAACUACAUGGUAGGCUGAAUAAGGGGUCACUCCCUUCUGUGAGUUGUUGUAGAGCCAGCAGAGCAGUUCUAAGCUCAGUCAGUAAGUUGCAUCCCAAGUUCAUUUGAAGGGGAUUUUUUUUUUCCCUUUUCCUGUUUUGCCAAAUUAGUGGAUGGCAGUAUGUAAGUUGCUCGUAAAAGUUGAUUACGGGAAGGGACUCCUGGGAACGCCUACACCUUUUAAGUUGAGUUAAGUUUCAACACUGCCUGCUCAUGGCGAAACGGCGAGAGUUAACGGAUUUUGAGCGAGGUCUGAUAGUAGGUGCCAGAAGGAUGGGGCGUUCAAUUACUGAAGUUGUACUUGCAUUUAACUUUCCUCGCUCCACGGUGUCGCGUGUGUACAGGGAAUACUUGGCAGGCAUUACCUCCCACGGUGGACAGCGCAGUGGCCGCCCACGGAUGCUUAAUGAUGAGGACCUGAAGCGUCUGGAUAGCAUUGUUUGUGCUAACAGGUAUGCAACUCUGGAUGAAAUCACAGCUACAUUUAAUGCCGGAGGCCCCAAACAAGUGUCACGCAGGUCAGUGCAGCGAUGUUUAGCUUCAAUGGGAUAUGUCAGCAGAAGACCCACCAGAGUGCCUGUUGAGAUUACAACACCAGUGGCACCGGACAAUAGUCAACCAGACCCUCAGACCGACUGAUUGGACUGGGUUGUGCUCUGUCUAAAAGUGCGUCACUUUGGCAAUGUUUGCAGUUUAGGACUUCAGUGUUUCAUUCAUAAUGUUUUCAGAAUUAACCUCUGAAGUGUUGAGAGAAAUUGUGCUGAAGUUUAGUUUCUCCAGUUUUACCUACCAAAUCUUAAAUUAAUCCAAUAUGGUAGAGCAGGCAAAACGCCACUGUUUGGGACUGGGGUUGCGGGCCACUUAUGUAGGUCCAUGGGUUACUUUGUUUAAAUGUAAAUCUGUUAUUUUACUCUUAAUAAAAUAUUUUGUUGCA